rnacentral:rRNA from 1 species
GAUGAACGCUGGCGGCGUGCCUAAUACAUGCAAGUCGAGCGAACGGACGAGAAGCUUGCUUCUCUGAUGUUAGCGGCGGACGGGUGAGUAACACGUGGAUAACCUACCUAUAAGACUGGGAUAACUUCGGGAAACCGUAGCUAAUACCGGAUAAUAUUUUGAACCGCAUGGUUCAAAAGUGAAAGACGGUCUUGCUGUCACUUAUAGAUGGAUCCGCGCUGCAUUAGCUAGUUGGUAAGGUAACGGCUUACCAAGGCAACGAUGCAUAGCCGACCUGAGAGGGUGAUCGGCCACACUGGAACUGAGACACGGUCCAGGCUCCUACGGGAGGCAGCAGUAGGGAAUCUUCCGCAAUGGGCGAAAGCCUGACGGAGCAACGCCGCGUGAGUGAUGAAGGUCUUCGGAUCGUAAAACUCUGUUAUUAGGGAAGAACAUAUGUGUAAGUAACUGUACACAUCUUGACGGUACCUAAUCAGAAAGCCACGGCUAACUACGUG